rnacentral:lncRNA from 1 species
AAUCAUAGCCUUUCUACAACAUGCCUAAACUCUGAGUGGUUUGAAUUUAUUUCUCAAGAUCCAGGAAUAGGCUUCGCAUUAGCAACAUGAAGCCUGAGUCUAUGAACACUUGAAACAAGAUGGAUUCAAUUCAGUAAAACUACCAUAGCCUAUUUUUUCCAAAACAACUGACUUUUGCUCUCUUGCUCGCUCUCUGUCUUUUUUGGUCUCUGUCAGUUUCUCUUUCCUUGUGUCUUUCAUUUUCUUUAAAAGAUGUGUGCUGUAAUUAAUUUAAUGCAUUUGAUAUAUUUCACCCGGGCAUUUGGUUAACAUGUUGCGUACCACUCUGUUCCACUUUCUUGUUUUCAGCCCGUGGCAGUUUGAAAGGCAGAUGCAAUGUUCUCUGCUCUGCGAUCCCUGCUGUCAAGAGUCUGCUGUUUCCUAAAGAAUCAUGAAAUAAAUUUGGGUCGAGCUUGUAGCAUUGAGGAGGAGCAGUAGAAGAAACGAAGAAAACAUAUUCCAUCAUCUCUGAACUAUUCCAACAUUUUGUUUAUAUCACAUUACGUUCUGAUCACACUGUAGAGAAAAUUAUCUCUCACCACGUCUGUUUCUAGUUGAACAAGAGUUUCUCCAAGAAUUGGUACAGAUUUAGCAGAACUAUAAACCCUUAUGAAGAGGAUCACAAAAUGACUAUGAGAAUGGAACAGCUUCCUCACAAAGGCGCAAUAAAAAGACCACAUUUUUCAACAUGGGAAGGACAGUUGCCAGUCUUGGACGGAUUUCAGUUGCUCCUGGCAGCAGUCACCUCACCAGUUCAUGUUCUGCCCAGUGUUGCGUAA